GACGAACGCUGGCGGCGUGCCUAAUACAUGCAAGUAGGACGCAGUUGCGAACGGGUGAGUAACGCGUAGGUAACUACCUAUUAGAGGGGGAUAACUAUUGGAAACGAUAGCUAAUACCGCAUACUAGUAGAUGGACCUGCGUUGUAUUAGCUAGUAGGUAGGGUAAUGGCCUACCUAGGCAAAGAUACAUAGCCUACCGGAGAGGGGGAUCGGCCACACUGGGACUGAGAUACGGCCCGGACCACUACGGGAGGCAGCAGUAGGGAAUCUUCGGCAAUUGGAGGAACCCUUACCGAGCAACGCCGCGUGAGUGAAGAAGGUUUUCGGAUCGUAAAGCUCUGUUAUUAGGGAAGCGGUACCUAAUCAGAAAGCCACGGCUAACUACGUGCCAGCAGCCGCGGUAAUUC
rnacentral:rRNA from 1 species